UACGUAGGGGGCAAGCGUUGUCCGGAUUUAUUGGGCGUAAAGAGCGUGUAGGCGGCUUGGUAGGUCCGCUGUGAAAACUCGAGGCUCAACCUCGAGAUGUCGGCGGAAACCACUUGGCUAGAGUCCGGAAGAGGAGAGUGGAAUUCCUGGUGUAGCGGUGAAAUGCGCAGAUAUCAGGAAGAACACCUAUGGCGAAGGCAGCUCUCUGGGACGGUACUGACGCUGAGACGCGAAAGCGUGGGGAGCAAAAGGG
rnacentral:rRNA from 1 species